AGAUGUUGAGGGGUAAAAACCCGCAUGGGGUUUCUCAAAUUCGCGUAGAGUUUGAUCCUGGCUCAGAUUGAACGCUGGCGGCAGGCCUAACACAUGCAAGUCGAGCGGAUGAAGGGAGCUUGCUUCUGGAUUCAGCGGCGGACGGGUGAGUAAUGCCUAGGAAUCUGCCUGGUAGUGGGGGAUAACGUCCGGAAACGGGCGCUAAUACCGCAUACGUCCUGAGGGAGAAAGUGGGGGAUCUUCGGACCUCACGCUAUCAGAUGAGCCUAGGUCGGAUUAGCUAGUUGGUGGGGUAAAGGCCUACCAAGGCGACGAUCCGUAACUGGUCUGAGAGGAUGAUCAGUCACACUGGAACUGAGACACGGUCCAGACUCCUACGGGAGGCAGCAGUGGGGAAUAUUGGACAAUGGGCGAAAGCCUGAUCCAGCCAUGCCGCGUGUGUGAAGAAGGUCUUCGGAUUGUAAAGCACUUUAAGUUGGGAGGAAGGGCAGUAAGUUAAUACCUUGCUGUUUUGACGUUACCAACAGAAUAAGCACCGGCUAACUUCGUGCCAGCAGCCGCGGUAAUACGAAGGGUGCAAGCGUUAAUCGGAAUUACUGGGCGUAAAGCGCGCGUAGGUGGUUCAGCAAGUUGGAUGUGAAAUCCCCGGGCUCAACCUGGGAACUGCAUCCAAAACUACUGAGCUAGAGUACGGUAGAGGGUGGUGGAAUUUCCUGUGUAGCGGUGAAAUGCGUAGAUAUAGGAAGGAACACCAGUGGCGAAGGCGACCACCUGGACUGAUACUGACACUGAGGUGCGAAAGCGUGGGGAGCAAACAGGAUUAGAUACCCUGGUAGUCCACGCCGUAAACGAUGUCGACUAGCCGUUGGGAUCCUUGAGAUCUUAGUGGCGCAGCUAAA
rnacentral:rRNA from 1 species